ACUCAAAUGAAUAGACGGGGGCCCGCACAAGCGGCGGAGCAUGCGGAUUAAUUCGAUGCAACGCGAAGAACCUUACCAAGGCUUGACAUACAGGGUAAUCCGGCAGAGACGUCGGGUCCGCAAGGGAUCCUGUACAGGUGGUGCAUGGUUGUCGUCAGCUCGUGUCGUGAGAUGUUGGGUUAAGUCCCGCAACGAGCGCAACCCUCGUUCUAUGUUGCCAGCGCGUAAUGGCGGGGACUCAUAGGAGACUGCCGGGGUCAACUCGGAGGAAGGUGGGGAUGAGGUCAAAUCAUCAUGCCCCUUAUGUCUUGGGCUUCACGCAUGCUACAAUGGCCGGUACAAAGGGCUGCGAAACCGCGAGGUGGAGCGAAUCCCAAAAAACCGGUCUCAGUUCGGAUUGGGGUCUGCAACUCGACCCCAUGAAGUCGGAGUCGCUAGUAAUCGCAGAUCAGCAACGCUGCGGUGAAUACGUUCCCGGGCCUUGUACACACCGCCCGU
rnacentral:rRNA from 1 species